CUUGUUUAGGAUUUGAUUCGGUUUUCUAGUUGUUUUGAAAUCUGUAAAAUGGAACUUAUUUUGGACAGG